UACGUAGGGAGCAAGCGUUGUCCGGAAUCAUUGGGCGUAAAGCGCGCGUAGGCGGCCCUGUAAGUCCGUUGUGAAAGUCAAAGGCUCAACCUUUGAAAGCCGAUGGAUACUGCAGGGCUAGAGUCCGGAAGAGGCGAGUGGAAUUCCUGGUGUAGCUGUGGAAUGCGCAGAUAUCAGGAGGAACACCAAUAGCGAAGGCAGCUCGCUGGGACGGUACUGACGCUAAGGCGCGAAAGCGUGGGGAGCAAACAGG
rnacentral:rRNA from 1 species